GACGAACGCUGGCGGCGUGCUUAACACAUGCAAGUCGAACGGAAAGGCCCUGCUUUUGUGGGGUGCUCGAGUGGCGAUCGGGUGAGUAACACGUGAGUAACCUGCCCUUGACUUUGGGAUAACUUCAGGAAACUGGGGCUAAUACCGGAUAGGAGCUCCUGCUGCAUGGUGGGGGUUGGAAAGUUUCGGCGGUUGGGGAUGAACUCGCGGCUUAUCAGCUUGUUGGUGGGGUAGUGGCUUACCAAGGCUUUGACGGGUAGCCGGCCUGAGAGGGUGACCGGCCACAUUGGGACUGAGAUACGGCCCAGACUCCUACGGGAGGCAGCAGUGGGGAAUAUUGCACAAUGGGCGGAAGCCUGAUGCAGCAACGCCGCGUGCGGGAUGACGGCCUUCGGGUUGUAAACCGCUUUCGCCUGUGACGAAGCGUGAGUGACGGUAAUGGGUAAAGAAGCACCGGCUAACUACGUG
rnacentral:rRNA from 1 species